UACGUAGGGUGCAAGCGUUGUCCGGAAUUAUUGGGCGUAAAGAGCGUGUAGGCGGCCCGAUUAGUCCGCUGUGAAAGUCCAGGGCUCAACCCUGGAAUGCCGGUGGAUACUGUCGGGCUAGAGUCCGGAAGGGGCGAGUGGAAUUCCUGGUGUAGCGGUGAAAUGCGCAGAUAUCAGGAGGAACACCAAUGGCGAAGGCAGCUCGCUGGAACGGUACUGACGCUGAGGCGCGAAAGCGUGGGGAGCGAACAGG
rnacentral:rRNA from 1 species